UUUUUGUGAAGAUGUGUGAUCUAAAACAGUUACAGAGAAGGUCCUGAUUAAGCACUGCGAAUUACAUCGAAUCACUCACCUGUCAUAUGGUUUACGGCCAGCGAGAAGUUCUAGCAUUACCACAACCAAAACGGUGAACAUCACUUCGAUACGGUGGAACGGUUUUGGUGUGCCUCUGUUGGAAGGAACGACCAACAAAACAAAGGAAUGUUGAGGACUCUUGCCCAGAAGUAUAGCCAGCUACAAAAUGCUGAUGCAAAUGAUAUCCAUGGACCUUCACAAGCUCGUCCUAUAUUUUAUUUUUCAAGUUUGUAAUUGUUUUCAUUUUGGAAAAAGUUCAUCUUUGGCCGAAAUGCCAAACAGACUCAACUUUCAGAAUGUCCCAAUCUGGCCCCUCAACUUUCCGUUUGCUCUGCAAUCAACUAAAUUAUGCAAUGGUGCAAUCGAACAUAUUUGAGCCA